GAUGAACGCUGGCGGCGUGCCUAAUACAUGCAAGUCGAGCGAACAGACGAGGAGCUUGCUCCUCUGACGUUAGCGGCGGACGGGUGAGUAACACGUGGAUAACCUACCUAUAAGACUGGGAUAACUUCGGGAAACCGGAGCUAAUACCGGAUAAUAUAUUGAACCGCAUGGUUCAAUAGCGAAAGACGGUUUUGCUGUCACUUAUAGAUGGAUCCGCGCCGCAUUAGCUAGUUGGUAAGGUAACGGCUUACCAAGGCAACGAUGCGUAGCCGACCUGAGAGGGUGAUAGGCCACACUGGAACUGAGACACGGUCCAGACUCCUACGGGAGGCAGCAGUAGGGAAUCUUCCGCAAUGGGCGAAAGCCUGACGGAGCAACGCCGCGUGAGUGAUGAAGGUCUUCGGAUCGUAAAACUCUGUUAUUAGGGAAGAACAAAUGUGUAAGUAACUAUGCACGUCUUGACGGUACCUAAUCAGAAAGCCACGGCUAACUACGUG
rnacentral:rRNA from 1 species